UGGUUUAUGUCCCAUUAUUGUCAUGUGACUUUGAGGUCAUAAAAAUGGUGAUAAACAUGUGUUUUUUCAAGCACAAUAUCAUUUUAUAUCAAAAUAAAUGAUGAAUUAAUCAUAAUCUGCAAAAAAAUAUUAUUAAUUUUAAACUUAUUAUAUAUUUUCGAGUACGAAAAUUAAUGCUAUCGCGUGAUCGGCGAGACGCCGCCAUCUUGCCGACUUUGCAUUCAUCCUCGGUCAGACCUCAUGGAAAAUGGAAUUAGAUUCUAAUUAUCUGCGUGAAAAUGAUUUAGAUUCAAGUAACGAAGAAGUAUAAGACCUUACUGAUGUCCUAGACACUGGAGAUAAUGAAAAUACAGUUUUGAACACUAUGUUGAACUCUUUCUCUACACAUCAACUGAGAAUUUAUAAAGGAAAAAAGGAGUGAAUGGGUAUCCCUUAUCAACUGGGACUGUUACCUCCUGAGAAAGAACCAGGAAUUCAGCUGGCUGAGAUGAGGACAGGAGACAGUACAAUGAAGUAUAUGUUUACUCAAACCUAUUGUGUUUGUAAACUCUUCAGUGGAUAUUGUGACAUACAUUAUGUCAAUUUACCAAUGGAUAUGUAAAGCGACGCAGAUCACCUAUCUGUCUCGGGAUGGUUUAAUUCGACACCUGAUUAAAUCUUACAGGUUUUAUGGACUUAUAAUACGUUCUGGGUAUUAUCAACACUCAUUUUGACAGAUUCUGAAGCAAGAAUUUACUCUAUGCUCUACAAUGGACUGCGGCUCAAGUUUUCAUAUCACGCUAUUGCUUCAAAGGUGUCAUGCUUUUUUAAAGAUGUACUAUCAAGAUACCGAACCUACAGAGGACAUAUUAUACAAAUAAUGCUCUCAACUUACAUAAAAAUUAAGUGCAGUAAAUUGUUGUAGCUUUAUAUAUUUCCAUAGAUAAGACAAAGGUUAGAAAGAAUAUUUUUCUUGACAAUACAUUAUCAUGCUUAUGAUUGUGGAUAAGCCAACAGUGGGGUAUGCAAUUAUGAGCUUUUGGCUGAUCACUGACAGGUUACACAUAUGGUUUUGUUUUUUUAUAUUUUUUAUUAUUCUGGUCAGUGGGCCAGAUGGGUUAGCUUAUGUGGUGGAUAGAAGUGAUCAGUUAAUAAAACUGUAAUGUCCUUCGGUAAACAAUUAAGUACUAGUAGUGUACUAGAACUAAAUUUUUUCACCUCUGAGAUAUAACUAAAGUUAAUUUCUGUAUUUUACUUCAAGAUUAUUGAGAAAAGAAUCCAGAUAUCUUAGGAAAAAAAAUUCCAACAUGGUAUUGCCAAUUACACUCUUUAAAAGUUAGUUGGAAAGUUAGGUAAUAUUUCACUUAACCAUACUGUUUCUUUGGCUUGUAAGCCACCAUUAUUUUCCAAUCAUUCUAUGAACCAUACUAUAUCAGAUUAGAAUGAGGUUUUUAAAUUGUUAUUGUAUUGAUAAAAAAAUAUUAAAAGAAUAUAAGUUAAGUGUAGAUAAGUGUAUAUGAUACACUUUAUGUUUACAAAAAGAAGGAAAUUGUUUGUUUAGUUAUCAUGUGUGUUCACAUUAUUUAUUAAUUGAAGAUCAUUAAAAGCAUCUGUUUUAAUGUAAUAAGAAGCACUGUAGAUAUUACAAUUUGAUUAUUUCAUUACAUUGACUUAUGUGUGUGUUUGAUUACAUGUUAACCUAUGUUUGCCACUUUUAGAGUAAAAAUGUUUGCGGAGAGGUCCAAAUCAUUUAAAGAUCAUCAUAAGAUCAAUUAAUUUGUGAAAAAUCCAUUUCUUGGCACAGUGCAUUCAAAAUUGUCACAUUUAUACAUAUAUGGAUGCAAGUCAAUAAAAUAUACAUAUUAACCCAA